rnacentral:lncRNA from 1 species
CUCGUUUACUGCUGUUUCUUUUAUACAAUUGUAGUGUUGUUUCACAAAUUCCAACCCUAACAUUCAAUCCUACUUACACAUGACCCAAUUCCAUUUAGCCCAACUAACCCAGCCUACUCUCUACAACCCAGGCCCAUUCCCCAAAUACUAACCCUAGCUAGCCCAUCUCUAUAACAGGAUCUAAACCCCUUCCCAUCUGGCCCAGUCCAAAAUAUCCGACCAAACCCGAUUAUAACCAAUCCAUUAACAUCAAAUACCCCACAGUUUCACCCGAUUUCUCUCUCACAACCACUCUCUUGCUGCCGCCGCCGCUAAUCACCAUCACGCCACCACUUUAUUAUCUAUUGUACCCAGGCAUCCAGAGCACUACCACUUCAUCGCCAUAGGCCGCCACCACCACCAACCCAAGAUCACACACUUCCACACAGUUACUACACUCAUAUAUUUCCUCAUCCAUCUCAACAAUCUAAAAGUCACAGUCACCACACUCAGUUUUACGUCCACAUCAGAACCAGCACAAGUUACAGUCAACAUGGGCUAAAACCAUUGGACAUGAAGGGAAGAACAGAAUCAUAGGGGGCACAUAAAUUGGCAAUUCAGAUCAAUCGGCAUACAAAUAAUCAAAACUAAACAAUAGGGAAUCCUUGAUCUCUAUUUAGUAUUGAUUUAUACUAUUGCUUCAUUUUUAAAAUUGCAUCAAUUAAAAUCUUGUGCUGCUGUUAUCGUGAUAAUUUUAGCCUUAAACCCCACUUAAUCGAAACCAUUAAUCGAAUUGAUACCAGUGACCGAAUUGACUUCCAUUGUUCCCCACUUAAAUUGAUUGGAGAAUUUGACCAGUGUGUUGACCCUUGCUUUGCCAUUUUACAUGUACCAGCAGUAUUAGCUUGUUUUGGAUUUAAUUAAUCCCAAUAUUUAAAAUUAAAUAAAAAAAUUGGUACAAGUUAUUUUCCAUUGCUUGCACAUAUUGUUCACUGAUCUCAUCAUAGCACGUCAUUUAGCUGGUAUUACAUUGCAUGUAGUUGCGUAGUAGUCGUCUUAUCGUCUCUAUUUCUAAUACAUUGACCAAUUUGAUGCACUCACUAGACAAUUAGUGCAACUUGCCACUAGCCUAUUGACUGUCCAAUCAGAUAUAACUGCUACUCGUAAGGAGAGAAAGAACCUAGAGCAAUUUUAAGCAAACCCCUCGUUUGACUGACACUAAUUCUGAAGCGUCUCAUAAUAGACAAUAUCAUGGUGGACAAAGUGAUCAAAAAUAUUUUCGAACCGAUCGUGGGAAUAGGGAUCAGGUUCGUGAGCGAGAAUAAG